rnacentral:rRNA from 1 species
CGUAGGCGGCCUUGUCAGUCAGACGUGAAACCCCCAGGCUUAACCUGGGAACUGCGUCUGAUACUACAAGGCUGGAGUUCGGGAGAGGAAUGUGGAAUUCCAGGUGUAGCGGUGAAAUGCGUAGAUAUCUGGAGGAACACCGGUGGCGAAGGCGGCAUUCUGGACCGAAACUGACGCUGAGGCGCGAAAGCCAGGGGAGCAAACG